rnacentral:rRNA from 1 species
UGCAGUUGAGGCAGGCGGAAUUCGUGGGUGUAGCGGUGAAAUGCUUAGAUAUCACGAAGAACUCCGAUUGCGAAGGCAGCCUGCUAAGCUGCAACUGACAUUGAGGCUCGAAAGUGUGGGUAUCAAACAGGAUUAGAUACCCUGGUAGUCCACACGGUAAACGAUGAAUACUCGCUGUUUGCGAUAUACGGCAAGCGGCCAAGCGAAAGCGUUAAGUAUUCCACCUGGGGAGUACGCCGGCAACGGUGAAACUCAAAGGAAUUGACGGGGGCCCGCACAAGCGGAGGAACAUGUGGUUUAAUUCGAUGAUACGCGAGGAACCUUACCCGGGCUUAAAUUGCAGAUGAAUUACGGUGAAAGCCGUAAGCCGCAAGGCAUCUGUGAAGGUGCUGCAUGGUUGUCGUCAGCUCGUGCCGUGAGGUGUCGGCUUAAGUGCCAUAACGAGCGCAACCCUUGUUGUCAGUUACUAACAGGUUCUGCUGAGGACUCUGACAAGACUGCCAUCGUAAGAUGUGAGGAAGGUGGGGAUGACGUCAAAUCAGCACGGCCCUUACGUCCGGGGCUACACACGUGUUACAAUGGGGGGUACAGAGGGCCGCUACCACGCGAGUGGAUGCCAAUCCCAAAAACCUCUCUCAGUUCGGACUGGAGUCUGCAACCCGACUCCACGAAGCUGGAUUCGCUAGUAAUCGCGCAUCAGCCACGGCGCGGUGAAUACGUUCCCGGGCCUUGUACACACCGCCCGUCAAGCCAUGGGAGCCGGGGGUACCUGAAGUGCGUAACCGCGAGGAGCGCCCUAGGGUAAAA